GCGAACGCUGGCGGCAGGCUUAACACAUGCAAGUCGAACGGGCACUUCGGUGCUAGUGGCAGACGGGUGAGUAACACGUGGGAACGUACCUUUCGGUUCGGAAUAAUCCAGGGAAACUUGGACUAAUACCGGAUACGCCCUUCGGGGGAAAGAUUCAUCGCCGAUAGAUCGGCCCGCGUCUGAUUAGCUAGUUGGUGAGGUAAUGGCUCACCAAGGCGACGAUCAGUAGCUGGUCUGAGAGGAUGAUCAGCCACAUUGGGACUGAGACACGGCCCAAACUCCUACGGGAGGCAGCAGUGGGGAAUAUUGGACAAUGGGCGCAAGCCUGAUCCAGCCAUGCCGCGUGAGUGAUGAAGGCCUUAGGGUUGUAAAGCUCUUUUGUCCGGGAAGAUAAUGACUGUACCGGAAGAAUAAGCCCCGGCUAACUUCGUG
rnacentral:rRNA from 1 species